GCUCCGGUGGCCUAGUGGUUAGAGCGUCCGCCUUGGAUGUGGAAGGUUGUGGGAUCAAUCCCCAGUCUUGUUAUA